AUGAUGACUCUCGGCAACGGAUAUCUCGGCUCUCGCAUUGAUGAAGAACGUAGCGAAAUGCGAUACCUGGUGUGAAUUGCAGAAUCCCGUGAACCAUCGAGUCUUUGAACGCAAGUUGCGCCCGAGGCCACCCGGUCGAGGGCACGCCUGCCUGGGCGUCACGC
rnacentral:rRNA from 1 species